rnacentral:piRNA from 1 species
UAUAGCCUCAUGGGUCUACGCAAGGCCCUGA